UGGGGAAUUUUGGACAAUGGGCGAAAGCCUGAUCCAGCCAUACCGCGUGCGGGAAGAAGGCCUUCGGGUUGUAAACCGCUUUUGUCAGGGAAGAAAUCCUGUUUGUGAAUAGCGGAUAGGGAUGACGGUAUCGAAAGAAUAAGCACCGGCUAACUUCGUGCCAGCAGCCGCGGCAAUACGAAGGGUGCAAGCGUUAAUCGGAAUUACUGGGCGUAAAGCGUGCGUAGAUGGCUUUUUAAGUCGACUGUGAAACCCCUGGGCUCAACCUGGGACGUGCAGUCGAUACUGAGGAGCUUGGAGUCUGAGAGAGGGUGGUGGAAUUCCUGGUGUAGCGGUGAAAUGCGUAGAGAUCAGGAGGAACACUAGUGGCGAAGGCGGCCACCUGGCUUAAGACUGACGU
rnacentral:rRNA from 1 species